rnacentral:misc_RNA from 1 species
ACGGCUACCGCUGACGUUCCACGCGAAAGCGUACUUGAGAACCGAGGAAACGCGCAACCUGAAUAUCCCCUUCGGGGAAUCCUCGCCCUUUAGGGCGGGGAGGAUGUCAACGUUGUUCUAGAUUC